rnacentral:rRNA from 1 species
UGGGGAAUAUUGCACAAUGGGCGCAAGCCUGAUGCAGCCAUGCCGCGUGUAUGAAGAAGGCCUUCGGGUUGUAAAGUACUUUCAGCGGGGAGGAAGGCGUUAAGGUUAAUAACCUUGGCGAUUGACGUUACCGACAGAAGAAGCACCGGCUAACUCCGUGCCAGCAGCCGCGGUAAUACGGAGGGUGCAAGCGUUAAUCGGAAUUACUGGGCGUAAAGCGCACGCAGGCGGUUGAUUGAGUCAGAUGUGAAAUCCCCGGGCUUAACCCGGGAAUUGCAUCUGAUACUGGUCAGCUAGAGUCUUGUAGAGGGGGGUAGAAUUCCAUGUGUAGCGGUGAAAUGCGUAGAGAUGUGGAGGAAUACCGGUGGCGAAGGCGGCCCCCUGGACAAAGACUGACGCUCAGGUGCGAAAGCGUGGGGAGCAAACAGG